rnacentral:rRNA from 1 species
GUGCACGCUGGCGGUAGGCCUAACACCUGCCAGUCGCACGGCAGCACAGUAAGCGCUUGCUCUUACGGGUGGCGAGUGGCGGACGGGUGAGGAAUACAUCGGAAUCUACUUUUUCGUGGGGGAUAACGUAGGGAAACUUACGCUAAUACCGCAUACGACCUACGGGUGAAAGCAGGGGAUCUUCGGACCUUGCGCGAUUGAAUGAGCCGAUGUCGGAUUAGCUAGUUGGCGGGGUAAAGGCCCACCAAGGCGACGAUCCGUAGCUGGUCUGAGAGGAUGAUCAGCCACACUGGAACUGAGACACGGUCCAGACUCCUACGGGAGGCAGCAGUGGGGAAUAUUGGACAAUGGGCGCAAGCCUGAUCCAGCCAUACCGCGUGGGUGAAGAAGGCCUUCGGGUUGUAAAGCCCUUUUGUUGGGAAAGAAAAGCAGCAGGUUAAUACCCCGCUGUUCUGACGGUACCCAAAGAAUAAGCACCGGCUAACUUCGUG